UUAAGCGAAUAAGCGUACACGGUGGAUGCCUAGGCAAUCAGAGGCGAUGAAGGACGUGCUAAUCUGCGAAAAGCGUCGGUAAGGUGAUAUGAACCGUUAUACCCGACGAUAUCCGAAUGGGGAAACCCAGUAUCCAAUGGAUACUAUCAUUAACUGAAUCCAUAGGUUAAUGAGGCGAACCGGGAGAACUGAAACAUCUCAGUACCCCGAGGAAAAGAAAUCAACCGAGAUUCCCCUAGUAGCGGCGAGCGAACGGGGAGCAGCCCAGAGUCUUAAUCAAUAACAGUGUCAGGAGAACGGUCUGGAAAGUCCGGCAGUAAAGGGUGAUAGCCCCGUAUCUGAAGAUGCUGUUAUUGUGAACUCGACGAGUAGGGCGGGACACGUGUUAUCCUGUCUGAAUAUGGGGGGACCAUCCUCCAAGGCUAAAUACUCCUGAUUGACCGAUAGUGAACCAGUACCGUGAGGGAAAGGCGAAAAGAACCCCGGCGAGGGGAGUGAAAAAGAACCUGAAACCGUGUACGUACAAGCAGUAGGAGCCUCUUUAUGGGGUGACUGCGUACCUUUUGUAUAAUGGGUCAGCGACUUAUAUUCUGUAGCAAGGUUAACCGUAUAGGGGAGCCGUAGGGAAACCGAGUCUUAACUGGGCGAAUGAGUUGCAGGGUAUAGACCCGAAACCCGGUGAUCUAUCCAUGGGCAGGUUGAAGGUUGGGUAACACUAACUGGAGGACCGAACCGACUAAUGUUGAAAAAUUAGCGGAUGACUUGUGGAUGGGGGUGAAAGGCCAAUCAAACCGGGAGAUAGCUGGUUCUCCCCGAAAGCUAUUUAGGUAGCGCCUCGUGAACUCAUCUUCGGGGGUAGAGCACUGUUUCGACUAGGGGGUCAUCCCGACUUACCAACUCGAUGCAAACUGCGAAUACCGAAGAAUGUUAUCACGGGAGACACACGGCGGGUGCUAACGUCCGUCGUGAAGAGGGAAACAACUCAGACCGCCAGCUAAGGUCCCAAAGUCAUGGUUAAGUGGGAAACGAAGUGGGAAGGCUCAGACAGCCAGGAUGUUGGCUUAGAAGCAGCCAUCAUUUAAAGAAAGCGUAAUAGCUCACUGGUCGAGUCGGCCCGCGCGGAAGAUGUAACGGGGCUAAACCAUGCACCGAAGCUGCGGCAGCGACACAAAGUGUUGUUGGGUAGGGGAGCGUUCUGUAAGCCUGCGAAGGUGUACUGUGAGGUAUGCUGGAGGUAUCAGAAGUGCGAAUGCUGACAUAAGUAACGAUAAUGCGGGUGAAAAACCCGCACGCCGGAAGACCAAGGGUUCCUGUCCAACGUUAAUCGGGGCAGGGUGAGUCGACCCCUAAGGCGAGGCUGAAAAGCGUAGUCGAUGGGAAACGGGUUAAUAUUCCCGUACUGGUGGUAACUGCGAUGGGGGAACGGAGAAGGCUAGGUUGUCCGGGCGACGGUCGUCCCGGUUCAAGCAGGUAGGCAGAGUGACUAGGCAAAUCCGGUCACUUAAUGCUGAGAUGUGAUGACGAACCACCAAGGUGGUGAAGCAAUUGAUGCCCCGCUUCCAGGAAAAGCCUCUAAGCUUCAGGUUACCAACAAUCGUACCCCAAACCGACACAGGUGGUCAGGUAGAGAAUACUCAGGCGCUUGAGAGAACUCGGGUGAAGGAACUAGGCAAAAUGGUGCCGUAACUUCGGGAGAAGGCACGCUGGCGGUAGGUAAAGUCCCUCGCGGACGGCGCUGAAGCCAGUCGAAGAUACCAGCUGGCUGCAACUGUUUAUUAAAAACACAGCACUGUGCAAACACGAAAGUGGACGUAUACGGUGUGACGCCUGCCCGGUGCUGGAAGGUUAAUUGAUGGGGUCAGCCGCAAGGCGAAGCUCCUGAUCGAAGCCCCAGUAAACGGCGGCCGUAACUAUAACGGUCCUAAGUAGCGAAAUUCCUUGUCGGGUAAGUUCCGACCUGCACGAAUGGCGUAAUGAUGGCCAGGCUGUCUCCACCCGAGACUCAGUGAAAUUGAACUCGCUGUGAAGAUGCAGUGUACCCGCGGCAAGACGGAAAGACCCCGUGAACCUUUACUAUAGCUUGACACUGAACAUUGAGCCUUGAUGUGUAGGAUAGGUGGGAGGCUUUGAAGUGUGGACGCCAGUCUGCAUGGAGCCAACCUUGAAAUACCACCCUUUAACGUUUGAUGUUCUAACCUAGGCCCAUAAACUGGGUCGGGGACCGUGUCUGGUGGGUAGUUUGACUGGGGCGGUCUCCUCCUAAAGAGUAACGGAGGAGCACGAAGGUUGGCUAAGCAUGGUCGGACAUCAUGCGGUUAGUGCAAAGGCAUAAGCCAGCUUGACUGCGAGAGUGACGGCUCGAGCAGGUACGAAAGUAGGUCUUAGUGAUCCGGUGGUUCUGAAUGGAAGGGCCAUCGCUCAACGGAUAAAAGGUACUCCGGGGAUAACAGGCUGAUACCGCCCAAGAGUUCAUAUCGACGGCGGUGUUUGGCACCUCGAUGUCGGCUCAUCACAUCCUGGGCUGAAGUAGGUCCCAAGGGUAUGGCUGUUCGCCAUUUAAAGUGGUACGCGAGCUGGGUUUAACGUCGUGAGACAGUUCGGUCCCUAUCUGCCGUGGGCGUUGGAAGAUUGAGAGGGUUGCUCCUAGUACGAGAGGACCGGAGUGAACGCACCACUGGUGUUCGGGUUGUCAUGCCAAUGGCAUUGCCGGUAGCUAAGUGCGGAAGA
rnacentral:rRNA from 1 species